UUUUUUUUUUUUUUUUUUUUUUUUUUUUUUUUUCU
rnacentral:ribozyme from 1 species